rnacentral:rRNA from 1 species
UGGGGAUUUUCCGCAAUGGGCGAAAGCCUGACGGAGCAAUACCGCGUGAGGGAAGAAGGUCUGUGGGUUGUAAACCUCUUUUCUCUGGGAAGAAAGAAUGACGGUACCAGAGGAAUCAGCAUCGGCUAACUCCGUGCCAGCAGCCGCGGUAAGACGGAGGAUGCAAGCGUUAUCCGGAAUUAUUGGGCGUAAAGCGUCCGUAGGUGGUUAAUCAAGUCUGCUUUCAAAGAGUGGGGCUUAACUCCAUAGAGGGAGUGGAAACUGAUUAACUAGAGGGCAGUAGAGGUAGGAGGAAUUCCCAGUGUAGCGGUGAAAUGCGUAGAUAUUGGGAAGAACACCAGCAGCGAAGGCGUCCUACUGGGCUGCACCUGACACUGAUGGACGAAAGCUAGGGGAGCGAAUGGGAUUAGAUACCCCUGUAGUC